rnacentral:rRNA from 1 species
CCGAACCGACUAAUGUUGAAAAAUUAGCGGAUGACCUGUGGCUGGGGGUGAAAGGCCAAUCAAACCGGGAGAUAGCUGGUUCUCCCCGAAAGCUAUUUAGGUAGCGCCUCGUGAAUUCAUCUCCGGGGGUAGAGCACUGUUUCGGCUAGGGGGCCAUCCCGGCUUACCAACCCGAUGCAAACUGCGAAUACCGGAGAAUGUUAUCACGGGAGACACACGGCGGGUGCUAACGUCCGUCGUGAAGAGGGAAACAACCCAGACCGCCAGCUAAGGUCCCAAAGUCAUGGUUAAGUGGGAAACGAUGUGGGAAGGCCCAGACAGCCAGGAUGUUGGCUUAGAAGCAGCCAUCAUUUAAAGAAAGCGUAAUAGCUCACUGGUCGAGUCGGCCUGCGCGGAAGAUGUAACGGGGCUAAACCAUGCACCGAAGCUGCGGCAGCGACACUGUGUGUUGUUGGGUAGGGGAGCGUUCUGUAAGCCUGUGAAGGUGUGU